rnacentral:rRNA from 1 species
UACGUGAGGGGCAAGCGUUGUCCGGAUUUAUUGGGCGUAAAGAGCGUGUAGGCGGCCAGGUAGGUCCGUUGUGAAAACUACCGGAGGCUCAACCGUCGAGACGCCGAUGGAACCAUCUGGCUAGAGUCCGGAAGAGGAGAGUGGAAUUCCCGGUGAUCGAGCGGUGGAAAUACGGCAGAUAUCGGGAAGAACACCCGUGGCUAAGGCGGCUCUCUAGUACGGUACUGACGCUGAGACGCGAAAAGCGUGGGGAGCGAACAGG